rnacentral:rRNA from 1 species
GUGCCCUACGGGACGCAGCAGUGAGGAAUAUUGGUCAAUGGGCGGGAGCCUGAACCAGCCAAGCCGCGUGAGGGAAGAAGGUACAGCGUAUCGUAAACCUCUUUUGUCAGGGAACAAAGGCGGGGACUAGUCCCCGGAUGAGGGUACCUGAAGAAAAAGCAUCGGCUAACUCCGUGCCAGCAACCGCGGCAAUACGGAGGAUGCGAGCGUUAUCCGGAUUUAUUGGGUUUAAAGGGUUCGCAGGCGGCCUGUUAAGUCAGCGGUAAAAGCCCGGGGCUCAACCCCGGCGAGCCGUUGAAACUGGG